rnacentral:rRNA from 1 species
AUGGUGUCGCCGGACGCUAUCCGCACCGUCAUCGGCGUCAUAGGCAAUGGAACCGCCUUGGUGCUCUUCCUAUCCCCAGUGCCGACGUUCAUCCAAAUCUGGAAGAAGAAGACGGUGGAGCAGUACUCGGCGGUGCCGUACCUGGCGACGCUGCUGAAUUGCAUGAUGUGGGUGCUCUACGGGCUCCCGCUGGUGCACCCGCACAGCAUGCUCGUCAUCACCAUCAACGGCACCGGCAUGCUCAUCGAGCUCACCUACGUCGCGCUCUUCCUCACCUUCUCCGUCGGCGCCGCCCGCCGCCGAGUCCUCCUCCUGCUGGUCGCCGAGGUCGCCUUCGUCGGCGGGGUUGCCGCGCUCGUCCUCUCCCUCGCCCACACCCACGACCGCAGGUCCAUGGUCGUCGGCAUCCUCUGCGUCCUCUUCGGCACCGGCAUGUACGCCGCGCCGCUCUCCGUCAUGAAAAUGGUGAUCCAGACCAAGAGCGUGGAGUACAUGCCCCUGUUCCUGUCCGUGGCCUCGCUCGUCAAUGGCAUCUGCUGGACUGCCUACGCCCUCAUCAAGUUCGACCUCUACAUCACCAUCCCCAACGGGCUGGGCGUGAUGUUCGCUGUGGGGCAGAUAAUCCUGUACGCCAUCUACUACAAGUCGACGCAGCAGAUCCUGGAGGCCCGCAAGCGCAAGGCCGACCAGGUGCCCAUGACCGAGGUCGUCGUCGACGGCAAGAGCGGCAGCGCCACCAACUCGGGCGCCGCCAACGGCCACUACUAG